rnacentral:rRNA from 1 species
UACGGGGGGGCAAGCGUUGUUCGGAAUUACUGGGCGUAAAGGGCUCGUAGGCGGCCAACUAAGUCCGACGUGAAAUCCCAAGGCUUAACCUUGGAACUGCGUCGGAUACUGGAUGGCUUGAAUUCGGGAGAGGGAUGCAGAAUUCCAGGUGUAGCGGUGAAAUGCGUAGAUAUGCGGAGGAACACCGAUGGCGAAGGCAAUCCCCUGGGCCUGCACUGACGCUCAUGCACGAAAGCGUGGGGAGCAAACAGG